rnacentral:lncRNA from 1 species
GUAACAUUUGAACUCUCUCUCUCUAAGCUUCGAGAAGGAGACCACAUUCACCCACGUCAGUUUUUGUCCAAAUCAAACCCCUAAACUUCUACUUACGAGACUUGUGGGACACAAGGAAUUAUAUGGUGGUUUUGCAUGCACCAUUGGAGCACUGUGAGGUGUUCUUCCAUAGAGUCCGAGAGCUUUAAGCUCUACUUAGAACUCAGGUGAGGCUACCUCUUUUCUAUCUAAGAUUUUCUGGUUGUUCUUGAUGUGUUGUGAUUUCGAGGUUGGGGCGUCCCAUCUAUUGUGUUGUUUUAGGGCCUAGGGUUACUAAUUUAGGGGUUUUCUAUGAUGGUGGAUUGAAUGACAAGCAGGUGUUAGGUGGUGUCUCUACCGGUUCAAAACUCAGCGUCGUCCCCAUCAUCGUGGUCCGAUCAUCCAUCAUUAUUGUCGCCGCCACCGCCGUCGUCAUCUUUCUCAAAAGUCGACAAGCAAAGGAAUCAGACUGCGGCGCUGGCAACAAAGGGUUUGGGUGGGAAAAAAAAUAGAGGACCCAUGUACC